rnacentral:rRNA from 1 species
CCUACGGGGGGCAGCAGUGGGGAAUUUUGGACAAUGGGCGCAAGCCUGAUCCAGCUAUUCCGCGUGUGGGAAGACGGCCUUCGGGUUGUAAACCACUUUUGUAGAGAACGAAAAGUCUAUUGAUAAUACCGAUAGAUGAUGACGGUACUCUAAGAAUAAGCACCGGCUAACUACGUGCCAGCAGCCGCAGUAAUACGUAGGGUGCGAGCGUUAAUCGGAAUUACUGGGCGUAAAGGGUGUGCAGGCGGUUUUGCAAGAUGGAUGUGAAAGCCCCGGGCUUAACCUGGGAAAGCCAUACAUGACUGCAAGACUAGAGUGCGUCAGAGGGGGGUGGAAUUCCAAGUGUAGCAGUGAAAUGCGUAGAUAUUUGGAAGAACACCGAUGGCGAAGGCAGCCCCCUGGGACGCAACUGACGCUCAUACACGAAAGCGUGGGGAGCAAACAGGAUUAGAUACCCGAGUAGUC